rnacentral:SRP_RNA from 1 species
GCCGGGCAUGGUGGCAUGUGCCUGUAAUCCCAGCUACUCGGGAGGCUGAGGCAGGAGAAUUGCUUGAGCCCGGGAGGCAGAGGUUGCAGUGAGCUGAGAUCAUGCCACUGCACACCAGCCUGGGCGAAAGAGCAAGAUUCUGUCUCAA